rnacentral:rRNA from 1 species
GAUGAACGCUGGCGGCGUGCCUAAUACAUGCAAGUCGAGCGAACAGACGAGGAGCUUGCUCCUCUGACGUUAGCGGCGGACGGGUGAGUAACACGUGGAUAACCUACCUAUAAGACUGGGAUAACUUCGGGAAACCGGAGCUAAUACCGGAUAAUAUAUUGAACCGCAUGGUUCAAUAGUGAAAGACGGUUUUGCUGUCACUUAUAGAUGGAUCCGCGCCGCAUUAGCUAGUUGGUAAGGUAACGGCUUACCAAGGUAACGAUGCGUAGCCGACCUGAGAGGGUGAUCGGCCACACUGGAACUGAGACACGGUCCAGACUCCUACGGGAGGCAGCAGUAGGGAAUCUUCCGCAAUGGGCGAAAGCCUGACGGAGCAACGCCGCGUGAGUGAUGAAGGUCUUCGGAUCGUAAAACUCUGUUAUUAGGGAAGAACAAAUGUGUAAGUAACUAUGCACGUCUUGACGGUACCUAAUCAGAAAGCCACGGCUAACUACGUGC